rnacentral:rRNA from 1 species
UGGUGGAGUGAUUUGUCUGGUUAAUUCCGUUAACGAACGAGACCUCAGCCUGCUAACUAGUUACACGAAGAAUCCUCUUCGUGGCCAACUUCUUAGAGGGACUAUGGCCGUCUAGGCCAUGGAAGUUUGAGGCAAUAACA